rnacentral:rRNA from 1 species
UACGAAGGGGGCUAGCGUUGUUCGGAAUUACUGGGCGUAAAGCGCACGUAGGCGGACAUUUAAGUCAGGGGUGAAAUCCCAGAGCUCAACUCUGGAACUGCCUUUGAUACUGGGUGUCUUGAGUAUGGAAGAGGUAAGUGGAAUUCCGAGUGUAGAGGUGAAAUUCGUAGAUAUUCGGAGGAAUACCGGUGGCGAAGGCGGCAUCCUGGACCGGCAUUGACGCUGAGGAGCGAAAGCCAGGGGAGCAAACGGG